CUAUCAGAAAGUCUUCCACACUGACGCUGAGCUCAGAGACGCACAGAGAGCCGUCACACAGGUCAGCACACGGAAUGGCGGGUUGCCAUGUUCCGGUGGAUGGAUUCUGCAUGUUCUUCUGGAGAUGGAGAAGGAACGAGAGAAGAGGGAAAAGCUGCACUGGGAGCUGCAGAUGUUGAAAUCAGGCCGAAGAGGUGUUUCUGACGGAGCAAACGCACAACCGCUGUCCGGAAAUUUCAGCUGCAAACACAAGAAAGCUGGAUGUUGAUGGUGUAUGGAGCAUCCUCCCGUCUCUGUCCCUCAGUCACGUGACCUCCAGACGUCUGGGUCUGAUAAAUCCCACUAAAUCAGAUGUCCUGCUCCUUCUGCAGUACAAAUAUGACAUCAUCAAAGAGCGACUUUAUAGAGAGAUGCUGCAGGAGGAACACGGUGUUGGAUGGUGGGAGUCGUUGGAUCCCUCGGAGCAGACAGAGUGUGUGUGUGAUUUAGAACACAGAGCAGAAGAAGCUUUUAAACUGAACGAUGUGUUGUGUGUGUGUGAGCUGCCCGGCGUUCUUCACUCAUACAGGAGCGAUGACGAGGUGGUGUUACACUCCGGUCCUGAUGAGGUGAGGGGGAGAGAGCAGGUGUGGACGUCGUUGCCACGGGAACAGAGCUGGACCUCCGCCAUCUUCCUCUCUGAGCUCCGCUCUCACUGUGAGGAGGAGAGACACGCCCUGACCCAGCUGCUCAACCGAGUGGAGCGACGCGUCCUGAUUGAGAUUUAUCUGAGUGUGUGUGUUUCUGUGAGGAGAGCCGAGAGGGAAACACACUCACACACAGCACUGCUGACCUCCAGACAACACUGGGACAACUGGCCGUAUACGAGACGUUCUGGUGUUGAGGAUUUAGUGAAGUUCUGGCUGCAGGAAAAACAAGAUCCAGCUGCACAGCUCAGAAACGAGUGCAGAACAUCACACUGUGUGCGACAGGAGCAGGAAAGGAGGACACUCGUGGAGAUCCUACACAGUAUCUCACUGGAGGAACUGCAGGAGCAGAGACACACACUGACUCCUGACUACAAGGUUGCAGGGACGACAGGUUCAGCUCUGAGACGUGGCUGUGUGUCCAUCCUGAGGCAGAUUAAAUCCUCUCCACACUGCAGCUCCACACACUCGUCUGUGUCGUGGGCCGACUGCGCUGUUCAUUUACUCACUCAGCUCACACACACACACGAUGACGAAGUGCAGACUGUCACACACACACUUCCGGUCAUGGAUGCUGCUGCUCUUCUGGUUCUGCUCCACAAAUACGAACUCGAGCUGCGUUCACCGAAACUACACAACCUACACAACUUACUGCAGACAUCCGGCAGCGAGAACACACAGAUUAACGUCUCUGUAACUGACAGCGAGAGGACAGAACACCGACGGGAGACUCCUUCAGUUAGCGAGGAAGGAGAAAUCUGCACGGGCUGCGGUGUUGUCCUCGUCCCCGAGGACGCUCCGUAUUUAGAGAUCCUCGGCAUUGGAGAGAAGAGAGAUGAUGUGAGGAGAGAGGGAGAAGAGGAGGAGAGGAGAGGAGGACGAGAGGGGGAAGAGGAGGAGAGGAGAGGAGGACGAGAGGAAGAAGAGAAGAGGAAUGUGGAUGCUGUAGAGAAACAGGGAUCCCUGAUCACACUGGCCUGGAGCAAACCAGCAAGCAACAAUACACAGGAAGUGACCUCAGCUCUACCUGAAGCACGGGCCACAGAGGCGACGUCUGCAGACUCACACACUCCGGACCACACACACUCGGGUUUAUCCCAGCACGAACACACACCGCGUGCACAGGCACACACACUGGUGGAGCCGCUACAGGAGCAGUCCACAUCCAGCAUGGAGACUCAGAACGAGAGCAGCAGCGAUGAACACGGAACAACAUCAGCAGCUCUGGACCUCAACUCUGAGACACGCAC
ensembl:lncRNA